UUUGAGAGGUUGAAGCUGCCAGCAUGAUCUGGUGAAACAAACACCAUCUCUUUCUUCUCUAACCCCAUGUCUGGAUUCGUCCACCGAUCCAUUAUUAUAGACCAGGCCGCCCGUUUCCCAUGUAGUGAUCGAUAAUUAGGCUCGGGGUUUUCACUUUUUAGUGGGAUCUAAUCCUUAGGAUGGAUGUUUGUAUGGGUGGUAUAUAUCAUGGUGAGGUCUGUUUUCUAUUUUAAUUCUAACGGGGUUUUGAUUUAGCUGAGGGGGUAUAAUUCAUAGCCUAAUUCCAAAACCUAACUCCAUAGAGAUAGGGUUCCAUGAUCAGGUCAUCUUGCAGCUUCAAUCACUCACUCA